rnacentral:rRNA from 1 species
GAUGAACGCUAGCUACAGGCUUAACACAUGCAAGUCGAGGGGCAGCACAAGGUAGUAAUACUGAGGUGGCGACCGGCGCACGGGUGAGUAACACGUAUCCAACCUGCCGUUUACUCUUGGAUAGCCUUCUGAAAAGGAGAUUAAUACAAGAUAGUAUCAUGAGAUCACAUGUUCACAUGAUUAAGGAAUUUCGGUAAACGAUGGGGAUGCGUUCCAUUAGGUAGUAGGCGGGGUAACGGCCCACCUAGUCUACGAUGGAUAGGGGUUCUGAGAGGAAGGUCCCCCACACUGGUACUGAGACACGGACCAGACUCCUACGGGAGGCAGCAGUGAGGAAUAUUGGUCAAUGGGCGAGAGCCUGAACCAGCCAAGUAGCGUGAAGGAUGACUGCCCUAUGGGUUGUAAACUUCUUUUAUAUGGGAAUAAAAAGAGCCACGUGUGGUUUAUUGUAUGUACCAUUAUGAAUAAGCAUCGGCUAACUCCGUGCCAGCCGCCGCGGUAAAAC